GUGAGACGCCCGCGUACCGAGAAUAAAAAAAAGGAAGAUGACUUUCUUUGCCUGUCCCGUGACACAUCAGACUUGGUUUCAGGAGUCAGUUUGCAACGGCACGGAAAUCAUGGGCCAGCUGAAACUGGCUUUGCCUCCUUAAAUAGGUUGUUUAUUAAUCAAGCUGAAACAGCACCAGCUUCACCUGGUUUCACCUCAUUUAAUAGGUCGUUGAUUCAGCAAUCCCCGAGUUAUUUAAUGGAGACAGCACUGUAAGUGUUCAAGACGGGAACCCAUGUUUCUAGGGUGACCUCGGAACCAAGGAUCUUCAGUCUACAGAACUUAAGGACUAGAAAUGUUACCACUCGAGCCCUUUACGAAGCGAGAAGUUCUUCAAUAAGGAACAUCUGGCCUCCAGCUGCACGAGUAGUUCAUAUGGCCUGAUUGGAGACGAGCCAAUCGGCUUCCAAGCUUGAAACUCCCUAACCCCUUAAAGUUCACUCGAGACGCUGAAUCGUGGAGAUGCAUUUGCGAGCCCAGCCUCCUGCUUGUUGACCUGACAGUAAAGCUCUUCGUCUUCUGGGAAAGCAUGUGCCAUCUCAUUGGCUUCUAUGCACGUCGGGCGGUGAGCCUUUGCUCGGUGACAAGUGUUGGGGGCGCUUAUCACAUGCUGAGUCACCUAAAGAUACUGCAUCUCGGUCAGUGUGCCCACCACCAGCCCCACCGGCCGGGUGAGAGGUCUGAGACGUGUGUCCAGGAGGGAUGACGAGGCGCUGGCGCCAUUUUUCACGAUGCGGUUGAGUAGGAUCCUGUACCGUCAGUGGGAUGCAAAGCUGUUUGCAGCACGGACGUGUGUACUGGGUGUUUCCUCAAUCGUUAUUUUAGUUCAAGAUUUCAAGCAAGAAGAGACCAUCACACUGGCAGGCUUCUAGGUGCUGGGACACAGCAGUGAUCAAGACAGACAAAAGCAUCAACUCAAAGAGCCUAUAAGGGGUCUUUUCCAUAGGCAACGAGGCCGAAACAGACGAUGAAAGAUAAGGGGUGUGUUUUUACCGAUUUUUCGUGUACAGCAGUGUCAUCGGGAGCAGGGCCACAGAUCCACACACAUAUAAUACAGGGUAGUGCACACAUGAAUAUUACUUUCUUCGAGGCUGCUUCCCUUCAGACUCAAGACAUUGAAGACCACGUAUCACUUUCCUUAAGACUCCUCCUCAGGACCCUGUCACUGGAGACCAUCCUGAUGGACCGGCUGGACGCUCUUGUGUCACAUGCUUGGUGAGGUGGACAUCCAUCCUCGUGGACCCUGAGCCAGCCUGCAGGCCUGAACUCUCCACACCCGUGGAUGAGCUGAGCCUCCUCGUGAAAAGGAGAAGAAAAGGAAGGGACAAUUCUGGGCACCAACUUCCCCCAAAUCCUGGAGCUCCAGGUCUGCAACCUCAGCAAGUACCCUCUGAACUACCCUGACUCUCAUGGGCUGAAUAGUGACACAUGGCCCCAGGGAGGGAGGAGCCAGUUGCUAAGUAGACCAUCCUGUGGGGACAGCGUCUGUUCAUUCAUAAAUCCACCAUCCCUUGUUUGGUUGGACAGGUAGAGCCAUAAUACCCACACUUAACUGUUUUUCCCCUAGGGUCCAUUUUAGGUCACCCCCAUCCCGUGAUCUGGAUCAGUAUUCUCUACAAUCUCGGGUUCUCCAAGGAAUGACUCGCUGUCAGCACUGCCCUGACGUCCUCGAGUGGCACUGCUUCCUGUGUUCGAGUCCCCUGGUUCUUUCAAGAAAAUAUCAGAGAAUCCGUAUCAGACAGUGUCAUUGCUGGAUUUUUCUACCCCCAGACAGCUGAGACUGUGAUUAUAGGCAUUAGAAUAUAAGAUGGGCACUUACCAGGUAGGUCGUGACACUAAUCCUCUAAUUAUUUUGCCUUAUUAACUCAUGUCCUUGAUUAGCACCUGACCAGGCUGGGCUGAGUUGGGUUUUAAGUGAUGGUUGUUUUUCAGUGAUACCGGGAGACAGAUGGCCUGUUCUAAGAAGGUAAUGGCUUUACAGUAUUUUUCAGAGAUUCCCCAGUAGAAAUCACUUGGUGUUUCCAUCAAACGGUUGCAGCAUUUACUGAGCUGACUCAGAUUCCCCUGGGAAGUGGUCUGCUCCUCCUCUCCUGGAGAGAUCCAGAGAGAUCCAGGAACCGGCAGAUCCUCACCUUGUCGGCGUUAUUCUUGGAGAGCCUGGCUGGGUGGCUGAAGAAGACCCAGAAGUGAUGAAAGAGGCCGUUCAGGAGCCCACGUUGUCUACGCAGAACGUAAGCCAUGGUGCAUCCGCAUCGUGUUCCACAUGCCAGGAUCUUGGCAACGAGAGGGGAACCCUGCAGAGGCGUGCGGUCACACCUGACACGGCAACCCUCUGCUUCUCACGGAUCGAGCUGGAUGGGGCAGCAGGUAGAGAUACUGCUCCCCUUUGGAAGGUGAGCUGGAGACACUUGAGCCCUUCUUUCCUGGAGUUUGCAGUCUCUUAGGGAGAUGCUCAAACAGUCCUCAAAAUCAAUAGGUUGACUUUCUCUCUACGUUACUUCUCAUCUGUCCUAGUCAUCUAAUCUUCAUAAGUCGUUGUUUCCCUGAAAGUGUCAGCUAUCCCCCUGCUUAACAUCCUUGGCUACUCUAAGAGCCAAGGACUUGGUAGCUUAAAAGAACAAAAUGUGCCGUCUUACCGUUUUAAAGCUCUAAACUCAAGGGAUCCGCAGGCUGGUUACUCCGGAGGCUCCAGGGGAGAAUCUAUUUCCUUCCUUUUCCACCUGCUGGAGGCGUCUGCCAUCCUGAGCUUGUGGCCCCUUCCUUGAUCAUCAAAACGAGCAGCUCAGCAUCUUGUAGUCAAAUACUCCUCUGACGUCCUCUUUACAGGGACCCAUGUGAUGACACUGGACCACCUGUAAAACCCAGGUCACCUGUGCAUCUCAAGGUGCUUAGCAGGACCACAUGUGCCAACUCCCUUUUGCUACGGCCAAGCACCGAAGAUGCAGGGGUGAGACUGUGCCUGGUACCAGCUGUGCGAGCUUGGGCAGGUCACUCCGCCUCUCAGAGGCCGGGACGGGUCACACAAAGGCACGGCGAGGGCCCGCGGAGCUCAGCCGGUGAGAACUCCUAUGGCUGCAGCCGACCCCCGGCACAGCUUACACGCGGGGCUGUUGUUAGUGAUGACGGCGUGGAGACCACUGCACGACCACAAUGAGUACCGCGACUAGUGCUAGUGUAAGUGCUACUCCAACUAUUGCAUUUACUACUACGACUGCGGCACUUAUCACUACGACAACUACUACUACCGUUACUGCUGCUGCGGCUGUUGGCUAUGGCUGCAAUGACUGCAGCAACCAGGACUGGCCUAAGUACUACCGCAACCGUGAGGUUUACUACUACAACCGUACUGUUUACUGCUACAAACGCUCCUACCACUACAGUGACUACAGCAAUCUGCACAACCGCUACGACUGUUACUCUUACAAGUGCAGCAAUUCCAGUGACUACAACGACGACUGCCACCGCUGCAGCUGCUACUAUCACAGCUGCUAUCAUUUUUGCUACUGCUACACCCACUGCUGUUACAGUCGGUACUGCUACAGCUCUUGCUGUCACAGCUCUUCUUAGUACAACUAAGUACAACUACAGCAGUUGCUCCUGCUAUAAAAGGUACCCCUCCCACAACCGCCACUACGACUGUUACAUUUACUGCCACAGUCACAACAAUUACUACAACUACUAUGAUUACAAAUUAUCACCAGUGCUGUAACUGUUACAGCACUUAGUACUGGUGUAACGUCUACUACAGCUCUUAGGGUUACUAUCGCAACCGGAACACUUACUACUACCACAACUGCUACUACCGCUGCCGCUACAAUCGUGACUACUGCGACAGUGACUACAGCAAUUGGCGCUACUACGACUGCUACUGCUAUCACAAGCACAGCAAUUCUGACGACGACUGCUGGUACAAUUAUCGCUAUGGCUACAGCUACUGCUGGGACAGCAAAUGGUACCACUAGGACUACUACCGCUGCUACUGUUACUAUCACGACUACUGCAGUUAUUGCUACAGCUACAGUGACUGCCACAACCGUUAGUAUCACAACUCCUGUUACGACCACAACUACAACAGUUGCUCGUGCUACAAAAACUACUAUUAUUACAACCACCGCCACGGUCAUUACCACUGCUCCAACGACAGCGAUUACAUUUAGUGCUACUACCACCGUCACGACAGCUGUUGUGUCUAUGACUACAGUUCUAACAUUCCCAAUACUACUGCUGUCACAAACACCUUUAAUUACUACUAGUGCGACAGUGACAAUGACUGCAACGAUCAGCGGUACUACAAUUACUACUGCAACUGUUACAUUUACUGCUACAAUUAUAACAAUUACCAGUGCCAGUGUUCCUACUAUUACAGCUGUCGCUGCGGCUACAACUACGAUUACUACAACAUCUAGUUCUAGGACAAAGAUUACGGCUAGACCGAGUGCUAUGACUACUGCUAAACUGCUUCUGUAAUUAUUCCUCCUCCUCUUCCUGCAACUAUAGGUACUACUUCAAAUACUACUACAACUAGUUUUACGAGGAUCGCAGCUGCAACUUCUGUAACAACUGCCAAUACUGCUAUAACUAGCGUUGCCACCACAAUGGCUACAACGAUUGCUCCUACAACAAUUACCGCCCCUACUGUUACUACUGCUACUAUGACUGCUACUCCUACUCCAGUCAUUGCUACAGCAACAACUACUACUGCUAUUGUUGCUGUUACUGUGAAAGAAAAACCAGAGCAGGACAGAGAAAAUGGUAAGAACAGACUUGAUUCAGGACUCCUGCAAUAGAGCAAAGAGAGCUCAGUACAGAGCCAGACUCAACUGCAAAGGCAGCACGGGCAAGUGGGGGUUUACAGCCACGGAGCAGGUGAGGGUCAGUGGAUGGAAAACUACUAACAGGAAAAUUAGGGGUGAGGGGAUUCUGGGUAAACUGACCCCACAGGAUUCCUGCUGAAGGCAGGGAAAGGUGACCAGACGUCACCUGGGGGGUGGGGCGUGCAGGAUGAGGCACCUGACCAGACAUGGAGAUGACCAGAUAUGAAGGGGGUGGGUUCUGGUUAAACCGACUAAGCAUGGCUCUUGCUAAAAUUGGACAAUGCAGAAAUGUACACAGAAGUCCAGAAAUCAGACCUCACUGAAGAAUUUAGGGGAGCCUGAUAUUACAGUCUGGUUGAGGAGACAAUUUUUGUCAACACAACGACUACUAACAUAGCUUCUGCCAUUAAGAGGAGCUCCUACUGCUUCUCGGUGGAAGACCCUCAAGUCAGAUACCAGGGAGGUGAGAACCUCGGCUGCUACACAGCCUUCUGUGACCCCUUCCCUGGGCACUUCCCAGCAGAACCCAGAUGACUCUCCACCAGGGGUUCUGGGUAUUUCUUCCCUAGAAGGAAUUUCUGCCCUCCAUCUCUCAAAUUCUAGACCUUAGGGGUUUUCCAAUAGAUGGUGACCACGUUUGGAAAUUAACCAUUGGCCCCAACACUUAGAUACAAGUCAUUUCCUUUUCCUGCGCCUGAUACUGUCUGAAUUAGCAUCCAGACUCUUCCACGUUUACAAACUGUGUGACCUUGACGCUGACUCAAGCGUUGUGCCUCAGUUUUCUCAUUUAUAAACAUCGGCCAGAAGGCUGUCUUCCUUCAAGGGCCGUAGUGAAGAUGCAGCAAGUUAAGACAUGCCCUGUGCCCUGGGCAGGGCUUAAAUCCUAGAUAUCGUGGUCGAGUAUCUGACUGUGUUCUGUUCUCAUUUUGUACCUGACUCUCACAUAUAAUUCAUGUGCAGCAGAGACUCCACGGACUGGCUGAAUUGCUCUUGACCCAGCUAUGACUCAGACCCAAAUGGGCCUCAGGUGGCCCUGCCGUAUGGUACCCUCCCCUCCUGGUUCUGAGUCCCAGUUGGACCCGAGAAAGUAUGUCACAGGGAAAUUCUAAGUUGAAUCCCUGUCUCGGAAGACCCACUGCAGGAGACGGUCACCAUGAUGAAUAUGGCAGGGGAUUACCUACCUCAUCCCCUCAACGCCUGUAGGUCAAGGUCAGUGUUAAGCAUCAUAUUUUCUACUAAGCAGCCCAUGGAUACACACACCGUUUACUGACACGCACAAGGGCACUCACCAGGGACUGAGUCAACGAUUCUACACAUGGCACGGGAGUUCGUCUCUGUGGAUUUGGACCAUCCCACUUCCAUUUUCUGCGUAUUCAAUAGGGUCUUCCAUAGAGUCGAGCGACUCUCCUGAGUUUCUGAAAUGAUGAAAAGGAAAAAAACAUUUCAGCAGAUUCAUGGAUGCCUGGUUCUUAAAAUAUCCCGUCUUAGAUAGAUCUCCUUCCCAUACAAUGGCAACUUUUUCUUUGUAGCACAUACCAGUGGAGGAUUUUAGCUAGUACUUUAAUUCUCAGAAAGGUUUUCAAUUCCAAAUUUUCAUGUGGGAAGACUUGUCCCCCUCUUUAAGGAGCACUAAUCUACAGAAGAAAGGAUCAAACACAUGACAAUCAGCUCAUGUUGAUUCUGUCCCUCAGAGGAGACUAUGCAAAUUAUUUAGUCAUCGUCAGAAAAUCCUAUUAAAGAUAUUUUAUCCCUGUUCCACGGCUUGAUAGAUUUGAAGACAAGGAUGACUUGGCUGUGACCUGAUUUUUGAAAAACUUUUGAAAACCAUCAUCUGUCUUGCUUUCUGGUGUUUGAUGUCUUUUUGAAGAGUGUGGGUCAAGAGCCACCCCCUCUUACACUUUCUAACUGCUCUGGAGGCAAAUAAUUCGCCUAACACAAAAAAUGUUCGAUUUAGGGGAUAAAUCUAUUCGGCUGCAGGAUUCAUUCGUUUACUUAGAAAGUGGUUUCCC